AUGUUUUCCUGACAGUGGAGAUACCGUGAUCAUGAAGGUGGUCCUCUCAUGGCAAGGCUUAGCUCCUGUAUUGCAGACUGCUCACCUCUGUGAUUCCCCAGAUUCUGGAAACUGCAUAACUUGUGGUAGCAGGAAACUGUGUUCACAUUCUCCCUU